UGUGGGAUCCUCCCGGACCGGGGCACGAACCCGCGUUCCCUGCAUCGGCAGGCGGACUCUCAACCACUGCGCCACCAGGGAAGCCCUCUUGGAGGGGUUUUAGAUGCUCUCUGCCACACACAAUUCCAAGAAGACCAGAGGAAGGAGGAAAGUCCUAGAUGUGAUGGUCAGCCCUGCUCUGGUUCUGAGGACGACAGUCCAGCUGCGGCAGUUUGACCGUCCCUCCCACGCAAACCCAUCCCUUAUUGUCUGUACCCUCGAUAAUGUCUCCCUCUCCUAGGACAACCACUGCUUGGAGGUUCUGGCUGAGGAUCCUGGGAAAAGAGACUUGUAGUGAUGAUGUGGAGAUCUGAGACUUCAGGCAGAAAAUGGCAAGUUUCUGGGCUUUCAGAAAUUUUAAAACUUCAGGAACUAAAAAUUGUUGGCGGUUCUUCAUCUUAUUUCAUCUCUAUAAAAUUCUAAACGUGGAAAGAA